GACGAAGGGGGCUAGCGUUGUUCGGAAUUACUGGGCGUAAAGCGCGUGUAGGCGGUUGCCCAAGUCGGGUGUGAAAGCCUUGAGCUCAACUCAAGAAAUGCACUCGGUACUGGGUGACUAGAGGACCGGAGAGGAUAGUGGAAUUCCCAGUGUAGUGGUGAAAUACGUAGAGAUUGGGAAGAACACCUGCGGCGAAGGCGGCCUUCUGGACGAUGACUGACGCUGAGACGCGAAAGCGUGGGGAGCAAACAGG
rnacentral:rRNA from 1 species